rnacentral:rRNA from 1 species
GAUGAACGCUGGCGGCGUGCCUAAUACAUGCAAGUCGAGCGAAUGGAUUAAGAGCUUGCUCUUAUGAAGUUAGCGGCGGACGGGUGAGUAACACGUGGGUAACCUGCCCAUAAGACUGGGAUAACUCCGGGAAACCGGGGCUAAUACCGGAUAACAUUUUGAACCGCAUGGUUCGAAAUUGAAAGGCGGCUUCGGCUGUCACUUAUGGAUGGACCCGCGUCGCAUUAGCUAGUUGGUGAGGUAACGGCUCACCAAGGCAACGAUGCGUAGCCGACCUGAGAGGGUGAUCGGCCACACUGGGACUGAGACACGGCCCAGACUCCUACGGGAGGCAGCAGUAGGGAAUCUUCCGCAAUGGACGAAUGUCUGACGGAGCAACGCCGCGUGAGUGAUGAAGGCUUUCGGGUCGUAAAACUCUGUUGUUAAGGAAGAACAAGUGUUAGUUGAAUAAGCUGGCACCUUGACGGUACCUAACCAGAAAGCCACGGCUAACUACGUGCCAGCCGCCGCAGUAA